rnacentral:rRNA from 1 species
UACGUAGGGUGCAAGCGUUGUCCGGAAUUAUUGGGCGUAAAGAGCUCGUAGGCGGUCAGUCGCGUCUGCUGUGAAAACUCGGGGCUUAACUCCGGGCCUGCAGUGGGUACGGGCUGACUAGAGUCCGGUAGGGGAGCAUGGAAUUCCUGGUGUAGCGGUGAAAUGCGCAGAUAUCAGGAGGAACACCAGUGGCGAAGGCGGUGCUCUGGGCCGGAACUGACGCUGAGGAGCGAAAGCGUGGGGAGCAAACAGG